UUACGCUGUUAUCCCUAAGGUAACUUUUUCUUUUGAUCAAAAAGUUUUGGGUCUAUUUGUUUUAAUACUUUUUAACUAUCCCCUGCUUUAAAAAAGGGGAGGUUGCCCCAACCAAACCUAGGUAAAGCUCUAUAGGGUCUUCUCGUCCCACUGUAUAAUUAAGGUCUCUUCACCUUAAGGUUAAUUUCAAAUUAUAUAAGGGGAGACAGCUUCUCUGUCGUCUAGCCGUUGAUACUAGCCUGCAAUUAACAGGCGAAUGAUUAUGCUACCUUUGCACAGUCAGUAAUACUGCAGCCGUUUAACUAUUGUCACCG
rnacentral:rRNA from 1 species